rnacentral:lncRNA from 1 species
CUUAGAGUACCAAAAACUCCUGAAACAUAAGAAAAAGGACCGCUAACAAAUUUUGCAAUGUUUGAAACAUGGAAUCAACGUCCUUCGUUCACACCCCUUAAACCCGAAACUGUUGGGUAGUAAUCCAAACGUUGUGCACCCUCGUUAGACAAGAAAGGAAAAAAGUACAGUGACACUAGUUAUAGUCAUAGACAGGCCGCACGAAUCAUUCC